rnacentral:rRNA from 1 species
UAAGAAUUUGCCUUUAGGAGGGGGAUAACAACUGGAAACGGUUGCUAAUACCCCAUAUGCUUUCGAGUGAAACGGUUUUUCCGCCUAAAGAGAAGCUUGCGGCUGAUUAGCUUGUUGGUGAGGUAAUGGCUCACCAAGGCGACGAUCAGUAUCUGGUUUGAGAGGACGAUCAGACACACUGGAACUGAGACACGGUCCAGACUCCUACGGGAGGCAGCAGUGGGGAAUUUUCCGCAAUGGGCGAAAGCCUGACGGAGCAAUACCGCGUGAGGGAUGACGGCCUAUGGGUUGUAAACCUCUUUUUUCAGGGAGGAAUCAAUGACGUGUACCUGAGGAAUAAGCAUCGGCUAACUCCGUGCCAGCAGCCGCGGUAAGACGGAGGAUGCAAGUGUUAUCCGGAAUCACUGGGCGUAAAGCGUCUGUA